rnacentral:rRNA from 1 species
GGCGAUUUCCGAAUGGGGAAACCCAGUGUGUUUCGACACACUAUCAUUAACUGAAUCCAUAGGUUAAUGAGGCGAACCGGGGGAACUGAAACAUCUAAGUACCCCGAGGAAAAGAAAUCAACCGAGAUUCCCCCAGUAGCGGCGAGCGAACGGGGAGGAGCCCAGAGCCUGAAUCAGUGUGUGUGUUAGUGGAAGCGUCUGGAAAGGCGCGCGAUACAGGGUGACAGCCCCGUACACAAAAAUGCACAUAUUGUGAGCUCGAUGAGUAGGGCGGGACACGUGGUAUCCUGUCUGAAUAUGGGGGGACCAUCCUCCAAGGCUAAAUACUCCUGACUGACCGAUAGUGAACCAGUACCGUGAGGGAAAGGCGAAAAGAACCCCGGCGAGGGGAGUGAAAAAGAACCUGAAACCGUGUACGUACAAGCAGUGGGAGCCUCUUAAUGGGGUGACUGCGUACCUUUUGUAUAAUGGGUCAGCGACUUAUAUUCUGUAGCAAGGUUAACCGAAUAGGGGAGCCGAAGGGAAACCGAGUCUUAACUGGGCGUUAAGUUGCAGGGUAUAGACCCGAAACCCGGUGAUCUAGCCAUGGGCAGGUUGAAGGUUGGGUAACACUAACUGGAGGACCGAACCGACUAAUGUUGAAAAAUUAGCGGAUGACUUGUGGCUGGGGGUGAAAGGCCAAUCAAACCGGGAGAUAGCUGGUUCUCCCCGAAAGCUAUUUAGGUAGCGCCUCGUGAAUUCAUCUCCGGGGGUAGAGCACUGUUUCGGCAAGGGGGUCAUCCCGACUUACCAACCCGAUGCAAACUGCGAAUACCGGAGAAUGUUAUCACGGGAGACACACGGCGGGUGCUAACGUCCGUCGUGAAGAGGGAAACAACCCAGACCGCCAGCUAAGGUCCCAAAGUCAUGGUUAAGUGGGAAACGAUGUGGGAAGGCCCAGACAGCCAGGAUGUUGGCUUAGAAGCAGCCAUCAUUUAAAGAAAGCGUAAUAGCUCACUGGUCGAGUCGGCCUGCGCGGAAGAUGUAACGGGGCUAAACCAUGCACCGAAGCUGCGGCAGCGACACUAUGUGUUGUUGGGUAGGGGAGCGUUCUGUAAGCCUGUGAAGGUGGCCUGUGAGGGUUGCUGGAGGUAUCAGAAGUGCGAAUGCUGACAUAAGUAACGAUAAAGCGGGUGAAAAGCCCGCUCGCCGGAAGACCAAGGGUUCCUGUCCAACGUUAAUCGGGGCAGGGUGAGUCGACCCCUAAGGCGAGGCCGAAAGGCGUAGUCGAUGGGAAACAGGUUAAUAUUCCUGUACUUGGUGUUACUGCGAAGGGGGGACGGAGAAGGCUAUGUUGGCCGGGCGACGGUUGUCCCGGUUUAAGCGUGUAGGCUGGUUUUCCAGGCAAAUCCGGAAAAUCAAGGCUGAGGCGUGAUGACGAGGCACUACGGUGCUGAAGCGACAAAUGCCCUGCUUCCAGGAAAAGCCUCUAAGCAUCAGGUAACAUCAAAUCGUACCCCAAACCGACACAGGUGGUCAGGUAGAGAAUACCAAGGCGCUUGAGAGAACUCGGGUGAAGGAACUAGGCAAAAUGGUGCCGUAACUUCGGGAGAAGGCACGCUGAUAUGUAGGUGAAGCGACUUGCUCGUGGAGCUGAAAUCAGUCGAAGAUACCAGCUGGCUGCAACUGUUUAUUAAAAACACAGCACUGUGCAAACACGAAAGUGGACGUAUACGGUGUGACGCCUGCCCGGUGCCGGAAGGUUAAUUGAUGGGGUUAGCGGUAACGCGAAGCUCUUGAUCGAAGCCCCGGUAAACGGCGGCCGUAACUAUAACGGUCCUAAGGUAGCGAAAUUCCUUGUCGGGUAAGUUCCGACCUGCACGAAUGGCGUAAUGAUGGCCAGGCUGUCUCCACCCGAGACUCAGUGAAAUUGAACUCGCUGUGAAGAUGCAGUGUACCCGCGGCAAGACGGAAAGACCCCGUGAACCUUUACUAUAGCUUGACACUGAACAUUGAGCCUUGAUGUGUAGGAUAGGUGGGAGGCUUUGAAGUGUGGACGCCAGUCUGCAUGGAGCCGACCUUGAAAUACCACCCUUUAAUGUUUGAUGUUCUAACGUGGGCCCCUUACCGGGGUUGCGGACAGUGUCUGGUGGGUAGUUUGACUGGGGCGGUCUCCUCCUAAAGAGUAACGGAGGAGCACGAAGGUUGGCUAAUCCUGGUCGGACAUCAGGAGGUUAGUGCAAUGGCAUAAGCCAGCUUGACUGCGAGCGUGACGGCGCGAGCAGGUGCGAAAGCAGGUCAUAGUGAUCCGGUGGUUCUGAAUGGAAGGGCCAUCGCUCAACGGAUAAAAGGUACUCCGGGGAUAACAGGCUGAUACCGCCCAAGAGUUCAUAUCGACGGCGGUGUUUGGCACCUCGAUGUCGGCUCAUCACAUCCUGGGGCUGAAGUAGGUCCCAAGGGUAUGGCUGUUCGCCAUUUAAAGUGGUACGCGAGCUGGGUUUAGAACGUCGUGAGACAGUUCGGUCCCUAUCUGCCGUGGGCGCUGGAGAACUGAGGGGGGCUGCUCCUAGUACGAGAGGACCGGAGUGGACGCAUCACUGGUGUUCGGGUUGUCAUGCCAAUGGCACUGCCCGGUAGCUAAAUGCGGAAGAGAUAAGUGCUGAAAGCAUCUAAGCACGAAACUUGCCCCGAGAUGAGUUCUCCCUGACUCCUUGAGAGUCCUGAAGGAACGUUGAAGACGACGACGUUGAUAGGCCGGGUGUGUAAGCGCAGCGAUGCGUUGAGCUAACCGGUACUAAUGAACCGUGAGGCUUAACCUU